rnacentral:rRNA from 1 species
GACGAACGCUGGCGGCGUGCCUAAUACAUGCAAGUCGAGCGGACUUAACCAGCUUUCUUUUUAAGUUAGCGGCGGACGGGUGAGUAACACGUGGGCAACCUUCCUGUAAGACUGGGAUAACUUCGGGAAACCGGAGCUAAUACCGGAUAAUCCUUUUCUACUCAUGUAGAAAAGCUGAAAGACUUUUUACGCUGUCACUUGCAGAUGGGCCGCGGGCGCAUUAGAUGGUUGGUGAGGUAACGGCUCACCUAGGCGACGAUCCGUAGACGACCUGAGAGGGGGAUAGGCGACAUUGGAAGGGAGACAGGGACAAGGCGACUAAGGGAGGGAGCAGUAGGGAAUCGGAGGCAAUGGACGAAAGUAUGACGGAGCAAGGGCGAGUGAGAGAUGAAGGUGCUGGGAGCGUAAAAAUCGGUUGUGAGGGAAGAACAAGUACGAGAGUAAAUGCACGGAGAGUGACGGUAACGAGCAAGAAAGCAACGGCUAACUACGUG